rnacentral:rRNA from 1 species
AUUGAACGCUGGCGGCAGGCCUAACACAUGCAAGUCGAGCGGAUGAAGGGAGCUUGCUCCUGGAUUCAGCGGCGGACGGGUGAGUAAUGCCUAGGAAUCUGCCUGGUAGUGGGGGAUAACGUCCGGAAACGGGUGCUAAUACCGCAUACGUCCUGAGGGAGAAAGUGGGGGAUCUUCGGACCUCACGCUAUCAGAUGAGCCUAGGUCGGAUUAGCUAGUUGGUGGGGUAAAGGCCUACCAAGGCGUCGAUCCGUAACUGGUCUGAGAGGAUGAUCAGUCACACUGGAACUGAGACACGGUCCAGACUCCUACGGGAGGCAGCAGUGGGGAAUAUUGGACAAUGGGCGAAAGCCUGAUCCAGCCAUGCCGCGUGUGUGAAGAAGGUCUUCGGAUUGUAAAGCACUUUAAGUUGGGAGGAAGGGCAGUAAGUUAAUACCUUGCUGUUUUGACGUUACCAACAGAAUAAGCACCGGCUAACUUCGUG